rnacentral:lncRNA from 1 species
AUCCUGUUGUAUUGGCACCAUCUUCCCGAAGCACUUCGCGAUGAUGUUAUGACAUCCCCCGCCGCUGAUCUUGGUAUCGUAGCCACGGUGCUCCGGCCCGCCGUACGGACCUAUCAGCUGUGCGGCCCACAGCGCCGCCCACUCCUCGGAAAACGUCGCUGAAAAAAGACAAGCCAUAGUUGUUAAGUACCAUCACAAGGGAAAAACAACCAAGGCCCGAAAGAAAAAGGGGAGCGCCACUCACGUGUGGUGACAGCAUGCGGAGGACGGAAAGCCUGAGGAACACGAGAAACUCUCAAAGAGACUAGCAAGCAAAAAAAUAAGGGUAGCCAAGCUCCCUGGGCCGCUCAGCCCGCGCAGGUACAGGAAAGAGCCCACACGCAAAAAAAAAGAGAAAGGGAACAGGGGCCAAGCUUCGCGGGCCAACGCCCUCGGCCUGCCCGCGCGCGCAAGGGGAA